GGGAAGGAUUGGCAACAGAUGUUAGCUCGGGGCCAAUCUUCCUCACUGAAAACAAAAAUGUGAAUUGAUAAUCAUAGUAUCUGUUGACUGUUCAAUUCAAAAGUGUGGCUUAAUUCUAGCUUACAGACUGGUGAAAAGGAGGACACAUAAGGGACCUUGGGGUAAAAUAUUAAUCAGGAGGCUCAUAAUCAAUCCCACACACCCUUGACCUUAGUUGAAACAAAAGUGCUGAUUUUUUGGAAUUCAGAAAGAGUGGAAUGAGAUUAGACGGAAUGACUUCUACUUAGGUGUUUUUUUUUUUUUUUUAAUUUCUAGAAUUCCUCCAUCCAGGAAUAGCCAAGUGAAUAGUACAAACCAUUGUCAUGUAAAAGCCUUGCAAAGUCAUCUGCUUUUAGUAAAGUCCUUCAAUCAGUACCACUUAAAGGACAGUCCAAAACGGAUACCAAUCCACAAACAUUUGUCUCUGGUCCUGAUGAGAAAUUAAUUUUGUAUUUAUUUCACCAAAGUACUGACCUACAACAGAUUGGAAAUUUUAAAAAAACAAACGAACUGGCCCUUCACCAGGGUUAGUUUGAGAAGCGCUUCCUUGAAUGGCAUUCCUGUGAGAAAGCUGCCAUGUUGUAAGCAGCCCUCUGUAGAAGCUCAGGUGGCAGGCCGAUGACAGGUCCUCUGUGUCUUCUCCAUUCAGCUGGUGAUGAAGAAAGACAGUGAAGACCAAGCAUGGGAGGAUUUUAUGGACCAGGCCUGGAAGUGACCCCCAUGACUUCCGCUCACAUUCUGUUGGCCAGAACUCAGCCACAUGGCCACACCUAGCUGCAAGGGAGGCUGGAAGAUGGGGCCUAGCAGUGUUCCCAAGACCAAGAAGGGAGCAUGGAUAUCUGUCUUUGGCAUAUCUGAAUCUCUGAUCUUACCUUAGCGGCAGCUUUCUGGUUGCCAAACUACAAGACGGAAGGCAGGCCUUCCUGGGCCAUCCAGAUCUGCUGCUGAGCCCCCUGCCGGCCCUGCCAGCCUUCUACCCGCCUUUUAAAAAGUGCCUGGCUUCCUUCCAUGGCAGCUCCGAGGGGAUACAUAUGAUGUUUUACAAAAGUCUUCACACUUCAGGAGUGGUCUUCAAGGUCCAUAUGGGACUAUUUAAUCACUGAACAAAGGCAAGUUUCCACUUAACCCCUGGGCGUUUUUCAUUUGUCUAUUUCAAUCAUGAUACUUUGGAGCAGUGACCAGAUUCAGAUCAGUUUUGGUUCUUACAUUGGACAUUGUUUUGGUCUGACCAGCCUCCCUCUCCCUGCCCUUUGCCAACAGCUGCCAGACUCUCCUUCGGGGGAACGACCCUAUUCCGUGGCACACAGUCUUGAUGAAACUGUCAAUCAGGGAGGGGGCGAGAUCUGAGACCCAAGCUUAGCCAAUCAGAUUCUUCUGGGGAUCUGAAUCACGAGUGGAAUUAACAUCAGGUCAGAGAAAAAAUGCACGUCCAGUGAGGCACCGCUAAUUCCUGCUUCUUGGAGUAGCAUACUGAGAAGGUGUAGCCUUUGGAGUAUGGGCUGUGGGGCCAGAUUGUUUGGGUUAGAAACACACUUUCUAUAUAAGACCUGAAGCAAGCUAGUUAACCUCAUGCCUCGGUUUCCUCAGAUUGUGAAAGGGGAUAAUAGUACUUCUCUCAUAGGGUUGUUGUUCACAUCGCAUAAAUCAGUGCAUGGGUCUCAGCAGGAACACUUGUGAGGACACAGGAACCACUCUGAGUAUUUGAAGCAGAAAAGGAAUUUGAUGCAUGGAUUAGGAACAUAAAAAUCAGUGAAAGGCUGGAGAAGCAGGCUCCAGGCUGCAGGACUGGCUUCUGGAACACACUUCCAAACUGGCCUGCCAGGGGCACUGUCUCUUCUGCCACCAUCAGGAAAGUGGACCAGUAGUGGACCAUCACAGGGACUUCAAGAACACAGUGCCACAGCUGUGACCCAGGGAGCAGGAAGGCACUUGGCUGCUCCUGUGACCACCUCUCGUCACUCAAGAAGCUGAGGACUGGACAGUGGACGGUACUCUAUCCAAGAGCAUCAAGAUCACCAAGGUUCAAUUUUUAAGGUUGAAACGUUGGCUGCUAGUAAAAGUGCUAAUAUUCAUAAGCAAGCGAUGCAACUUGUAACUGAAGGAUCUAAAUCUGAGGACCCUGUCAGCUCUAUAAUUUCAUAAUUCCCAAGUCACAUGCAAAAAUCAGUUUAAUUAACUUGUAAUUAUGCUUCUUAUCUUCUGCAUUGGCAAAGAGGGAGAGGAUAGUCAUUCAUGGGCCCUCCAGCAGCACAGAAGCAUUUAUUACUUGCAUCUUCCUAACUUCCUUGAAAUGUAGUUUUAAUACCAUAAUUCACUUUUGUAAUAGUGGCCUGGUGACUUGGGCAGUGCAAUCACAUAUGCUGUUGAGACUUCGACGGAGCCAAAGGAGAGGCAUCUGGACUGCAGCAACAUGAGUCUGACCGGGAGGAGAGAAGGAGGAUGAGGAAGCUAAUCCUGAUAGAGAUCCCACAGUCAGGUGUCCGCUGUGGGAGAGAGUAGGGGAACUCACCUGCCCUGCAGAAGGGGGUGUGUGGGUGUGGGUGGGGUGAGCUGAGCAAUGUGUUGGGCUCACAGACUGAAAAAUGAGCUGUGACUCAGGCUUCCAUUCAUACCAAAGAUCUGACCUAAUAGCAGAACCCAUCACCAGAAUCUAGGCACUGGGAAUGUUCAGGAGCUCAGUGAGCAGAGAGUUCAGGGGUCCACACACAGCAGGACCUCCCUAGUGAGGAGGGGGUGCUAGAGUGUGAGGAGAGGGACAUGUGAGGAGCAGGAGGACUUGCAGAGCUAAGCUGGGUCUCAGAGCCCCUUCUUCCUGUAAGUCACCACUGGGAUUGAGGCUGGAUACCAGUUACCCUGAGCAGAAACCACUAAACCAGCAUUUCUUUCACUGGAAUAGACUCCAGGCCUUUUUCGUUUGUUUAAUCAGAAGGAAAUUCUAUGUUAACUAGACUUUUUGCGGUGAUCAUUUCGCAAUGUAUACAAAUAUUGAAUCAUUAUGUUGUAUACCUGAAACCAAUAUAAUGUUACAUGUCAA